rnacentral:misc_RNA from 1 species
GUGAAUCAUCGAAUUUUUGAACGCAAAUUGCACUCUCUUCGGAGAGUAUGCCUGUUUGAGGUUCAGCCUAAAAAAAAUCGACAUAGUUGCUGUUACGCGGUAACAUUCGUCGGCAAUUGGGUCAUCUUAAACCUUUGUGUUUAAGCGGCUUAAAAUUGUCUUUACGAUUCCAAGAAAUUUUCUAAGAUUUUGUUUUCUUAUACUUUUAAGGGAGCUAUCUUUAUUAGACUUGUCCGUUGCAUCGGAUC